rnacentral:rRNA from 1 species
CCAUCCUACCUUCCAUCCAGGAUAGCUGGAGCUUGAUCAGUUUUAUCGGGUAAAGCGAAUGAUUAGAGGUUCGGGGGAUGAAACAUCCUUCACCUAUUCUCAAACUUUAAAUAGGUAAGACGUGUCGGUUGCUUAAUUGAACCGGCACAUUCAAUGUGAGCUCCAAGUGGGCCAUUUUUGGUAAGCAGAACUGGCGAUGCGGGAUGAACCGAUAGUCGAGUUAAGGUGCCAAACUACGCGCUAACCUAGAUCCCACAAAGGGUGUUGAUUGAUAUAAACAGCAGGACGGUGGUCAUGGAAGUCGAAAUCCGCUAAGGAGUGUGUAACAACUCACCUGCCGAAUCAAUUAGCCCCGAAAAUGGAUGGCGCUUAAGCGCGUGACCUAUACUCGGCCAUGGAAGCAAGUGCGACGCUUCCAUGAGUAGGAGGGCGUGGGUGUCGAGACUAAGCCUCUGGCGUGAGCCUGGGUGAAUCGGCAUCUAGUG